rfam:Loxodonta africana unplaced genomic scaffold scaffold_39, whole genome shotgun sequence.
GCAGUGGUGGUUCAGUGGUAGAAUUCUCGCCUUCCAUGAGGGAGACCCAGAUUUGAUUCUCGGCCAAUGCA